GGUCAAUGAUGAUUGGUAAAAGGUCUGAUUGCACUAAAUGUCACAGCUCCUUCCUUGCCCUCUACUCCCAGCAGCCCGUUCUGUUUUUCCCAGCACAUUGAAGUCGUGCGUGCGUGGGAGAGUGGGGCAGCUGAUAGUUUAGGAUUCUGUCAGUGUGUGUUCCGAGAGUGAGGGGUUCACAGCUGACUGCUAUCCAACAGAACCCAUUUUACAGGAGUCUUGAUGAGUGGCAGGGUGGAUGUGACAGUGCAUGAUCUCAAGUUUUCAAUCUGAGACC